CCCGGGCGCGGCCACCGCUGCUGCUCACUGCUCCCCUCACCUCCCUGGGGGUGAUCAAGGGUGAUGGUUCAAAUGCAGAGAAUAAUUUCGCCACACCUAGUGUGUGUGUGUGUGACAAUCAUUGGCACUUUAACUGAACUUUUAAUGAUGUUAUUCAUAUUAUUCAGAUUGAAAAGCUUAAGGGGCCGCAUGUGGCCCCCGGACGUUCAUUUGCCCAGGUCUGUGCUAAGGUGAUCUCUAGAAGUGGUCCACACUCCAUGUCAGUAGGUGGCGGUAAUGCACACCAGAAGGUUGCUUGCCAACCUGCUAUAAAAACAAAAGAAGAAGAAGAUCCACACUUCCGGGUGGUGAUGACGUCGCGUCGUGACGUCAUAUUUCAAAAUGGCAGAGCCCGCGGAAAGACCCCCUGGAGUCGACUCCAUUUCCCAAGAAAAGAUGUCAACAGCGCGACUUGUAACAAUUAUAAGGCCGAGGAGGGUUAUUUGAACACACACCAUUCAAUUAUUAUAAAUGAAAGUCACGUUUUUUAACCGCUCCGGUCUCGUCCCAGCGGAAGUGACGCUAGCACGUCAUCAGAAUACAACAGAUCAACACGACGAGAGAGACAUUCUGCCGCUAGACAAAGGUCACCGAGCAGCGACGAAGUUUGCAUUUUCGGUAGAGGUCCAGGGAGCCACGAGGGCGGUGCUAAAGAGACGCGGGUUGCUGACCCCCGGCCUACACCCUAGACUGGCCGCCAGUUCAUCGCAGGACACAUGAAAAAGCCUUCGCCCUCAAAUCAGAGAAGUAUUCAUUUACUCUAACAUGAUUUUUAUUCAGUUCAAUGCAUUUAUUGUCAUUGUCAUAGUGAAUAACACACACACUGCAUAGUAACCAUGUAUCAAAAAUGCGUUAGGUGGUGCAAUCCUGACCCAUGAAACGCGUAAACACAAAGGGUGCCACGAACGAUGCACAAAAUUCACAGUCUGGUAUGGAUCGGUACUUGAGCGGCGCCGUUCGAUACAUUUUUUCAAUACCCAAAAGAGGGAAAUGUUCAUGCCUUUUUUUUAACUUGUAGUUUAUUGAAAUUGUCGUUGUCCACGACAGAAAACGGUCGGCAAGGCGAGUUUAUUUACAGAGCACAGUUCGUACUACAGGCAGGCCAGUCUAGUACCCGCACUCUUUUACUACGAAGCCACGCUGUUGUAACACGUGCAGAAUGUGGCUCGGCGAUAUCUUACUGAAAUAAGCAGGGGCGGCCAUGAAAAAGACGUCGCUUGGAUGGCAACUUUUGUUGCUCCAAAACCUGUAUGUACCUUUCAGCAUUAAUGGUGCCUUCACAAACGUGUAAGUUACCCACUAAUACACCCCCAUAUCAUCAAUCUUUAUUGCAGACCUUAAGAUCCAUUUAAACAUAUAAAAACAGAAUAUAAUACAUUAAAAAACAAAACAAUAAAAACAUACAUUAAAAACAAAACAAAACAAGUUUUCCAUACAAUUACAGACGCUGGGUUUUCAACUUUGCGCCUAGAACAAUCCGGAUGGUUCUUUUCCUCUUUGGACCGGAGGACACGACGUCCACAGUUUCCAAAAACAAUUUGAAAUGUGGACUUGUCAGACCACAGAACACUUUUCCAGUUUGCAUCAGUACAUCUUAGAUGAGCUCGGGCCGAGCGAAGCCGGCGGCGUUUCUGGGUGUUGUUGAUAAAUGGCAUUCGCUUUGCAUUGUAGAGUUUUAACUUGCACUUACAGAUGUAGCGACCAACUGUAGUUACUGACAGUGGUUUUCUGAAGUGUUCCUGAGUCCAUGUGGUGAUAUCCUUUACACGCUGAUGUCGCUUUUUGAUGCAGUACCAACACAAAUACAACUUUGAAACUACGUGCUUUCUGAGAAGAUUACCGUAGUAACUAGUAUAUCAUGCAAAAGCGCAGAUUCCAACCAAUCAGUCCAUCUUAGAUGAGCUCAGGCCGAGCGAAGCCAGCGGCGUUUCUGGGUGUUGUUGCAUUUAUCAACAACACCCAGAAACGCAGAGUUUUGAGGACGAAAAUGAAUUGAUACCAUUUUAGAAUAAGGCUGUAACAUAGCAAAAUGUGGCAAAAAAUGAAGCGCUGUGAAUACUUUCCGGAUGCAGUGUACAGUAUAAAGGGCAGAUCAAUAGAAGUGAUAAUUAGACGUUGCAGUUCAUGGGUGGGAUGUGAGAGAGGGUCACUGCCUGAGGAUGCAGACGAGCUGUUGGCAAGUUGUCCUGGCACGUAUAGACCUGUUCCUUCUACCUGAGGGCCGCAGGUGAGGAGCAGGGUGUUGUUGGUCACGCAGGAUGCUGUGCACUCGCCUCAGACAGCAGGUAGUGUAGACUGUGCCCAUCUCUGGAAGACUUGAUUUUUUUUCAGCUGUUUUAAUCACCGAUUAGAGAGUCUGCUGUCAUGGCACACUUAUAAAAGCUCACUCUUACACUAGGAAGUGGAGUCAUUCAUUGCGCUUUACCUGACACAUGAAACGUGACAAAUACGAUCGCUGAGAUGAAACGGAUCAGGCCCGUGAACAGGUUCUAUCCGGAUGAAUUUGCUAAGUAUACAAAUGAGCUGAAAUUUUUCUAUGAAAGAAACUGCUGUUUUAAAUGUGUCCACUAGAUGUGGCAAUGGCAAUUCUUUGUAUCUUUGUAGAUGAUGCUACAUACAGUAUGUACAAAAAAAAUAAAACACAUGAUGUUAGUGCAACAGUCGAAGAAAAUUAGCAAACUACAUAAAUAACAUCCUGUAAUUUGAUUUUGAUUUUUUUUUUUUUAUCUUGUUAGAUUGAAAAUGAACACCAAUGAGUUGACUGAUGAACAUUAUCACGUCAUUUAUUCAGAAAGUAUAAAUAACGACAAUUAAAGGUAGAACACUAUUAACUGCAACAUGUAAGUGUAAAAAAACAACAUGAUUUGUUUAUUUUUGAGAAAUUCUAUUUUUAAACAAAGAAAACAAUCUGAAGUUGUCUUUAUUUUUAAGUUAUCGUGCCGUGAUUUUACCAGUCCGGCCCACUUGGGAGUAGAUUUUUCUCAAUGUGGCCCCCGAUCUAAAAUGAGUUUGACACCUCUGGCCUAGAUAAAUUGGUAAACAUCCUCACAAAUAUUGAUAUAAAGCAUUACCGUAUUUUCCGGACUAGAGGGCACACCGGAUUAUAAGGAGCACUGCCGAUGAAUGGUCUAUUUUUGAUCUUUUUUUCAUAUAUAAGGCGCACCGGAUUAUAAGGCGCAUUAAAGGAGUCAUAAUAUAUAUAUUUUUUUCUAAAUGUAAAAGACUUCCUUGGGGUCUACAUAACAUGUAAUGGUGGUUCUUUGCUCAAAAUGUUGCAUAGAUGAUGUUUUACACAUCAUCUUCAAGCCGCUUCCGGGUGCGCCGUUUUGUGGGCGGUCUUAUUUACGUGGCUCACCUUCGGCAGCGUCUUCUCCCCGUCAUCUUUGUUGUGAAGUGUCAAAAGAUGGAGCUAACUGUUUUAAUGACAUUCAGACUUUACUUCAAUCAAUAACGGAGCAGCAUCUCCUCAUCCAGAAACAACAACACCAGAAAUGUGUCCCGUGAAAAACCGUCCGACCAGAACUCUAGUAACUAAAGUUCCUUGGGUGAAUAAUGGUAACUCACUACACCGGUAUGUUUUAGGGCUUUCAUGGCGAGUUUACUGACUGAAAUAAGUAAUAACUUUACACUGCUUUUUAUUAGAAAUGGCAACAGCAGAGGAUGGAUGUCCCAUAACAAGAAGGUGGAGAAAAAGAAGAAGCUUAUCGACUACGGUGUCGGCACGGACUACAAAGGCGGACCUGCACAAAUUUUCAGGUACCAGAAGGUGUUUUCACAGCCCCCAUCAAGGGAAUUUACUUUGUCACCCUCACCUGUGGCAAAACAUCUUCUAGCCUGUACGCAUGUGUGUUGAAGAAGGACAAAGACAAGAUGGUCACAGUGUUACUACGGCAAGAGGAAGGACAAAGACAAGAUGGUCACAGUGUUACUACGGCAAGAAGAAGGACAAAGACAAGAUGGUCACAGUGUUACUACGGCAAGAAGGACAAAGACAAGAUGGUCACAGUGUUACUACGGUAAGAAGAAGGUCAAAGACAAGAUGGUCACAGUGUUACUACGGCAAGAAGAAGGACAAAGACAAGAUGACCACAGUGUUACUACGGCAAGAAGAAGGUCAAAGACAAGAUGGUCACAGUGUUACUACGACAAGAAGAAGGACAAAGACAAGAUGGUCACAGUGUUACUACGGCAAGAAGAAGGACAAAGACAAGAUGGUCACAGUGUUACUACGGCAAGAAGAAGGACAAAGACAGGAUGACCACAGUUUUACUACAGCAAGAAGGACAAAGACAAGAUGGUCACAGUGUUACUACGGCAAGAAGAAGGACAAAGACAGGAUGACCACAGUGUUACUACAGCAAGAAGGACAAAGACAAGAUGGUCACAGUGUUACUACGGUAAGAAGGACAAAGACAAGAUGGUCACAGUGUUACUACGGCAAGAAGAAGGUCAAAGACAAGAUGGUCACAGUGUUAUUACGGCAAGAAGAAGGACAAAGACAAGAUGGUCACAGUGUUACUACGGCAAGAAGAAGGUCAAAGACAAGAUGGUCAAAGUGUUACUACGGUAAGAAGAAGGACAAAGACAGGAUGACCACAGUGUUACUACGGCAGCGGUAGCAACAGCACUUUGAUGGAAGUGAAUGUGGGAGACAGUCUCGAGGUUAUGUUGUCUAAUGGUUUCACUAUCUACUGUGACUCAUCUAUAUUUAACACCUUCAAUGUCUUUCUCAUCAAACACACCUGCAAGUGAGUUCUGAUCCUCUUAUUGGUAAUUUUGAAACAGUAUCAUAUGCAUAUUGAUCCUCUAAUUAGUAAUUUUGAAACAGUAUCAUAUGCAUAUUGAUCCUCUAAUUAGUCAUUUUGAAACAGUAUUAUAUGCAUAUUGAUCCUUUUACUGGUAAUAUUGUUACAGUAUCAGAUGCAUAUUGAUCCUCUUAUCGGUUAUAUUGAUACAGUAUUGAUCCUCUUACCGCUAAUAUUGAUACAGUAUCACAUGCAUA